AUCCUUUUGUAGUUCAUAAACAUGAUUGGUUGUUCACAUGCAUGUGUGAAAUGUUCUUUUCUCAAGCCUUGUUAUGACAUUGGCACAUUAAUUUUUUUUCC
rfam:Otolemur garnettii contig146091, whole genome shotgun sequence.